rnacentral:rRNA from 1 species
UAAUACGUAGGGUGCGAGCGUUAAUCGGAAUUACUGGGCGUAAAGCGAGCGCAGACGGUUAUUUAAGCAAGAUGUGAAAGCCCCGGGCUCAACCUGGGAACUGCGUUUUGAACUGGGUAACUAGAGUGUGUCAGAGGGGGGUAGAAUUCCACGUGUAGCAGUGAAAUGCGUAGAGAUGUGGAGGAAUACCGAUGGCGAAGGCAGCCCCCUGGGAUAACACUGACGUUCAUGCUCGAAAGCGUGGGUAGCAAACAGGAUUAGAUACCCUGGUAGUCCACGCCCUAAACGAUGUCAAUUAGCUGUUGGGGUACAUGAUGCCUUAGUAGCGUAGCUAACGCGUGAAAUUGACCGCCUGGGGAGUACGGUCGCAAGAUUAAAACUCAAAGGAAUUGACGG